rnacentral:rRNA from 1 species
GCUAGCGUUGUUCGGAAUUACUGGGCGUAAAGCGUGCGUAGGCGGCUUUUCAAGUUGGGUGUGAAAGCCCGGGGCUUAACCCCGGAAAUGCGCCCAAGACUGUUUGGCUAGAGACCGGGAGAGGUGAGUGGAAUUCCCAGUGUAGCGGUGAAAUGCGUAGAUAUUGGGAGGAACACCAGUGGCGAAGGCGGCUCACUGGACCGGAACUGACGCUGAGGCGCGAAAGCUAGGGGAGCAAACGGG